AUUGAACGCUGGCGGAAUGCUUUACACAUGCAAGUCGAACGGCAGCACGGACUUCAGUCUGGUGGCGAGUGGCGAACGCGUGAGUAAUGUAUCGGAACGUGCCCAGUCGUGGGGGAUAACGUAGUGAAAAUUACGCUAAUACCGCAUACGAUCUAUGGAUGAAAGCGGGGGCUCGCAAGACCUCGCGCGAGUGGAGCGGCCGAUAGCAGAUUAGGUAGUUGGUGGGGUAAAGGCCCACCAAGCCAACGACCUGUAGCUGGUCUGAGAGGACGACCAGCCACACUGGAACUGAGACACGGUCCAGACUCCUACGGGAGGCAGCAGUGGGGAAUUUUGGACAAUGGGCGAAAGCCUGAUCCAGCCAUUCCGCGUGCAGGAUGAAGGCCCUCGGGUUGUAAACUGCUUUUGUACAGAACGAAAAGGUUUCUACUAAUACUAGGAGCUCAUGACGGUACUGUAAGAAUAAGCACCGGCUAACUACGUGCCAGCAGCCGCAGUAA
rnacentral:rRNA from 1 species